GAAUGCUGACAUAAGUAACGAUAAAGCGGGUGAAAAGCCCGCUCGCCGGAAGACCAAGGGUUCCUGUCCAACGUUAAUCGGGGCAGGGUGAGUCGACCCCUAAGGCGAGGCCGAAAGGCGUAGUCGAUGGGAAACGGGUUAAUAUUCCCGUACUUGGUGUUACUGCGAAGGGGGGACGGAGAAGGCUAUGUUGGCCGGGCGACGGUUGUCCCGGUUUAAGCGUGUAGGUGUGUGUUCCAGGUAAAUCCGGUUCACUUUAACACUGAGGCGUGACGACGAGGCACUACGGUGCUGAAGCAACAAAUGCCCUGCUUCCAGGAAAAGCCUCUAAGCAUCAGGUAACAUCAAAUCGUACCCCAAACCGACACAGGUGGUCAGGUAGAGAAUACCAAGGCGCUUGAGAGAACUCGGGUGAAGGAACUAGGCAAAAUGGUGCCGUAACUUCGGGAGAAGGCACGCUGACACGUAGGUGAAGUGAUUUACUCAUGGAGCUGAAGUCAGUCGAAGAUACCAGCUGGCUGCAACUGUUUAUUAAAAACACAGCACUGUGCAAACACGAAAGUGGACGUAUACGGUGUGACGCCUGCCCGGUGCCGGAAGGUUAAUUGAUGGGGUCAGCGCAAGCGAAGCUCCUGAUCGAAGCCCCGGUAAACGGCGGCCGUAACUAUAACGGUCCUAAGGUAGCGAAAUUCCUUGUCGGGUAAGUUCCGACCUGCACGAAUGGCGUAAUGAUGGCCAGGCUGUCUCCACCCGAGACUCAGUGAAAUUGAACUCGCUGUGAAGAUGCAGUGUACCCGCGGCAAGACGGAAAGACCCCGUGAACCUUUACUAUAGCUUGACACUGAACAUUGAGCCUUGAUGUGUAGGAUAGGUGGGAGGCUUUGAAGUGUGGACGCCAGUCUGCAUGGAGCCGACCUUGAAAUACCACCCUUUAAUGUUUGAUGUUCUAACGUGGACCCGUUACCCGGGUUGCGGACAGUGUCUGGUGGGUAGUUUGACUGGGGCGGUCUCCUCCUAAAGAGUAACGGAGGAGCACGAAGGUUGGCUAAUCCUGGUCGGACAUCAGGAGGUUAGUGCAAUGGCAUAAGCCAGCUUGACUGCGAGCGUGACGGCGCGAGCAGGUGCGAAAGCAGGUCAUAGUGAUCCGGUGGUUCUGAAUGGAAGGGCCAUCGCUCAACGGAUAAAAGGUACUCCGGGGAUAACAGGCUGAUACCGCCCAAGAGUUCAUAUCGACGGCGGUGUUUGGCACCUCGAUGUCGGCUCAUCACAUCCUGGGGCUGAAGUAGGUCCCAAGGGUAUGGCUGUUCGCCAUUUAAAGUGGUACGCGAGCUGGGUUUAGAACGUCGUGAGACAGUUCGGUCCCUAUCUGCCGU
rnacentral:rRNA from 1 species